rnacentral:rRNA from 1 species
AUGAACGCUGGCGGCGUGCCUAAUCCAUGCAGGUCGAGCGAACGGACGAGAAGCUUGCUUCUCUGAUGUUAGCGGCGGACGGGUGAGUAACACGUGGAUAACCUACCUAUAAGACUGGGAUAACUUCGGGAAACCGGAGCUAAUACCGGAUAAUAUUUUGAACCGCAUGGUUCAAAAGUGAAAGACGGUCUUGCUGUCACUUAUAGAUGGAUCCGCGCUGCAUUAGCUAGUUGGUAAGGUAACGGCUUACCAAGGCAACGAUGCAUAGCCGACCUGAGAGGGUGAUCGGCCACACUGGAACUGAGACACGGUCCAGACUCCUACGGGAGGCAGCAGUAGGGAAUCUUCCGCAAUGGGCGAAAGCCUGACGGAGCAACGCCGCGUGAGUGAUGAAGGUCUUCGGAUCGUAAAACUCUGUUAUUAGGGAAGAACAUAUGUGUAAGUAACUGUGCACAUCUUGACGGUACCUAAUCAGAAAGCCACGGCUAACUACGUG